GUGCAGAGGGAAUCUUGUUUACAGCACCUGUGCUGUUUUAAAGGCAGCUAGCAGGAUACAGGUGUUGAGGAUAGUGGCUGGCCCCAGCUGGUCUGCAGAGACACUGGGAUUUAGAACGCUCCCAAGAAAAGGAAGGGACUUUCUACAGAUGGGAACUUGCCCGAGGGAAGAUUUUUCCAGAUCUGAGCAACAGAUUGGUAGGAAACAAAUUAUGGCAGCAAUCCACUCGUGGUAGUUGCACAUAAAUUGCAUUUUGAAAGUGAGGAUAGAAGAAAGUGGGAAAUGAUUAAGAUUCUGUACUUUGGAAUCAGCCAGCCAGCAAGUCCUGGAUCUGCCACUCAAUCGCUUGGUGCUUUUAGAGGACCAGUUACAAAUCAGUGGAGAUGGGCCCUGGUACAUGGAACAAAUCUAUGCAGGAAUAAAGAAGUGUUUGUACAGUCUCAAAGGAAAGAAUCAGUGUGAUCACCUUUAUUCUGACGUGAUGAACUGAAACUGGAAAGGACUCCAAGUCACGUACUGAAAUGGCAAUAAAGAUUGAGCUGCUGAGGAUGGCAGAGGACAGGUAGGUGAACAAGGAGGUCUCAGUGUCUUGGGUGCAGAGACUAAGGACACUGAAACAAGGAUAACUUUACAUGUGAAAUGUUUGGUCCUAAAAUCUAAAGAAAUGAUAAGCAAUUAAGAAAUAAUAAAAUAAAAAGGAAAAUGUAGAGGGGUGAAAGUGGGUUUUGCUUGUAAACUGCUGAUGCUCACUCAAAUCCAAGCAGUCCUAGUUACUAGCUAAUUGUCCAUGACCAUUUUUAGACACACAAGUAAGAAUGCUUCUAAUGGAAUUCUUAUUUUAUUAGCUUCCUGAAUGGACUCAGACCUGGGAUGCUGGUCCCAUUUCACCUCUUUGACCCUUGAACUUCCCUAUAGAGC
rnacentral:lncRNA from 1 species